GGUGGCUCAGUGGUAAGAGUGCUUGCCCUGCAUGCAUGAGACCCUGGGUUCGAUUCCUCAGCACCA
rnacentral:tRNA from 1 species